CCCUGCCUGCGACGUGGAGGCGGGGGCUCGGGAGUCCCUGCUCAGGGAGUUGAAGGCGGGGUUCGGGGUCCCUGCCCCAGACGCGGAGGCGGGGGCUGCCCUCUGGGCGCAGUGGCAGCUGCGGGUAACGAGCGCUUCCGGCGCGUCAGCCGCUAAAUAUAAAGUGCUGAGCGCAUCUUCUCUUUUAAUCCCUCCCCUCCCCCAAACCUGCGGUAGCUUCGUGUCCCUUAAAAUAAAUCCCAGCCCGCUACCAGCGCCUCAAAGCCCCGCCUGGCUUGGCCUGGCCCGCCCGGCUCCAGCCCGGAGGCCUCCUGGGCGUCCUCGGUGAGAGGCGGAGAGGGGGGCUCCGACUGUCCCUGCGCGGUCAGCCACUAAGAGCGCGCACGUGUGCGCUGGCUUUUUGUCCGUCUCUCCCUCUGGCCCGGCCCAUCAGAUCAGGGAUUAGUGCUGGGCCCUGGAAGAAACUUGGUGCAUGGUGACCAGUAUUUUAUAAAAAUGAAACAGAAUAAAACGGAAAAUAUCAGGGCAUCCCACAUAGUGAGAAUAUUGUUUUGCGUUGAGGCCGUUUAUAUGUGUGAAUAUUUACGUGGGUACUGGGUCAAAUGUGGGAUGUGUUUCUUACCAGAGUGCCAAACAAACGAAUGAAAGCCACUGCAGGGAACAACUUGAGCCACCCCACAGACUAGGCGUUCUGACUCCCCUGGUCUUACAGAGGAGGACUGAGAUCCAGCACAGGACAGAGGAGCUGCUGGCAGGACAGGUGCCUGCCCGUCACAGAACACUCUGGUCCCACCGGCACUCAGCCAUGGCCAGUACCAGAAUUUGAGAAAAGGGAGCAGAAGAGAUGGAAAAGUCUUCAAAAUGUAUCUGCCAAGAGCUACCUGUACAUUUUAGACCUGGUUCUUGACUCGUGGAAAGUUGCAGUGGUGAGGAGAGCAAGGACAGGACGGCCAUGGGAUUGGUGUAGCCCCACUGAGAGAGAUCUCUGGGGAUCCGGGCAUCCUGCUCCUGGAACAGAGAGAUUAUAGCUGUGCUGCCCAUCUCGUCAGUGCUGGUGAGGAGCCUGGAAGACUGUGCCCGUGGGGGCCUUGGCAGGGGCCAGGAGCCCACCGCCUGGGCCCACCCAAUGGGAAGCUGGCUGUGCCGAGGACCACCCACUGCAGACGUGAGCCGCUUACCUAAGCACCUGCUGUGUGUAUGGAGAAGAGUGAAGCGGGCCCUCAUAAGGACAGGUGUGAAUGUGUGGACGUGGGACGCCGCCCUGGGUCCCAUCACAGGCUGGCAGCGUCACACGGCCAGCGUCCUGCAAGAGGAGGGCACGUUGCCGCAGCCUAUCACUGUGACUCUGAUGUCCCCCUGAGGAAGUAUGGGCCAUGGGUAUGCUAGGUAUCACUGCUUGCUGGGAGCAAAACGUAACAGGUGAGUUGAUUCAAAGACACGUCAGUGAUGGGUGAUCUACAGAGCAAGUCAAGUCAGUGGCCUGAAGCGUGGGAGCAUGCCAGCGGGGCAGGACCUCACCCGUCUCCUGAGGCUGGCACGAGGGAGGCGGGUGCUCGCCUCUGGGGAAGCCCUGGCCCCGCUGCAGGUAGCGCCGCCCGGAGGCAGCCGAGAGUAAAGGCGGGCUGGGCGCGGAGAUCAGGGCUGGCUUUGAAGGUGCCACCUACUAGGCCUUCCCAGCAGGGAAAGGGGCUGGAGGCCCGGGGUGUUCGGUGGCCGAGGAGCCGGGAGGGAAAAGACCGGAAGGGGAUCUUGUUGUUCUUCCGGAGCCAAGAAUUCUGAGGUCUGACCUGCUCUCUGUGAAUCCUGUUGCAAUCCAUUUCCUCCUGCCCGGGGCCCUACAGGGCUGUUUUCCUUAGAGACACGAGGAGCACCAGUAGGUGAGGGCCUGAGGUUCACGCAUCUUGUUCCCCCUCUCCCCUCCCCUCCCCCUGCCCUCUCCCCUCCCCUCCCUCUCCACCCUUUCCCAGUUAAGCACUCUGGUGUGAGGGAGCUAGGGAGUGAGAAGUCCAAGAAAAACAUUAGGGCCCCGACCCCAGCAAGCCACAGCCACCUUUCCCGGCUUCCCGCUGGGCAGAGCGCUGAGCAGAGUUGGCUCCCCAAGGGGAGCUGCCCCUCAGAAGUUCAGAGGGAAACCGUUCGAGAUUCUGGAAAUAGGAGAGGGCACCAGAGGAGGCCCGAGAGGCUUCUCUCCUGAUGGCGGUCAACUCCGCUGCUGCUCCCCAAGGCUUGAAGAGUGGCGACAGUGUGGGGGGACAUGUUCCUGGGCCUCACUGCUGGAACCUGGCCCGGGGCCUCCUGGCUGUGGGCUCUCCCAGCGUCCGAGACAUCUGGACCCCACCUCAGAGAGACGAGCACUGAAUGUGCAAGGAGCUGCUCACGCGGGACUAGCGCACAGAAGAACCCAGUCAUGCCCCGUCCCGGAUCCCUGCCUGCGGGGCCCUGGCGGUGAGGGUGACAGCCUGGGUGGGGUACGGGCGGCCUCAGGACCGCCGCCGGAGCCAUCCUCAGCCACAGGACCCUGCCACCUCUUCCCUCUGCCUGGGGCCCCUCUCGGCCUUUUCCAGGGAAGAAGAGACAUCCAGGCCAAGAGGGGCCCGGAGGGACAGCCUCCCGGCAGGUGAGGGGGUGGUUGGGGGUGGCCUGCUGAGGACAGAGCUGGACAGCAAAGUGGAGAUGGCCUGGGGGUGGCUCCUGGUUCCCCCUCCCCUGCUAGUUGGUGGGGGCCCCUGAUGGUGCCACCCUGCCCCCCAUCAGCCUGAGAGCCCUUGCACAGCCGGCCUGGCUCGAGGGGAGCGUGCCAUUGUUGUCUGUCAGGCUCAGCUUACAGGGGCCGUGAGAGCGGCCAGCACGGCGAGUCGGUCUGGGCCGCCUGCCGGCCACCUGGACCUUGUCCCCUGACAGUUCCCGAGGGAAGAGGGAAAGGACGACCAAGUGACCAAGGCCACAGCUGAGGGUGAGGAGAGGGGAUGUGACGAGCAGGGAAGGGGAGUGUAUGGCCCCGUGCCCCUAAAAGAUGGCUCUGAGGACCCAGCGACGGUGUGUCUGCUCACCAGUAGUUGUGCCCCAGAACGCUUUCGCAGUGAAACCGGAAACCCCCGGGCCUGCUGGCAGCAGAUUGGACCUUUGAUGGCAGCGUGUGCCCUGCUGGAAGAUUCUGGGGCACUGAGUGUGAGUGGAACUCGGCUGCAGGGACAGGGUGGCAAGAGAAAGAGACGGAAAACGAUGGCCUGACCCCCUGCACGUAGGCUCACAGGGAAGCACGCCCGCGCUGUUACGGUGGCGGUCACUGGGAGCCUAAGGGCUCGAAGGAGCCCGCGUGGCUUUGGGAGCCAGCCAUGCAUGGGUACUGGUUACACAGGUGCAUUACAUUUGUGGAUAUCCGUGGAGCUGAACACACGUGACCUGAGCACUUUUGUGCGCAUGUCUAUCACACUUGGA